ensembl:lncRNA
CUGGGGCUGGCUGGGUAAACACUUUUUUCAAGAACAAAAAUUUACUAUGUGUUGCACAGCCUCUAGGCUACAUUUAUUAAUUUUCAGGUCUUCCUAUCGUGCUGCACAGCCUCUAGUCUACAUUUAUUAAUUUUCAGGUCUUCCUAUCAUGUUGCUUCAUACAGGAACAAAAUAUAUCAAGAAGGGCAAGAUAAGAGUUAGCCAGCACAGCUUAUCUCUCUUAUGCCCUGAAGAUGGACAGUCCAAUUUUUAGGAUGCCUUUUUUAAGAAAUGGAAGACUUCAGUUCAUCUCACUAUAUACUAAAUUAACUCAGCCAAGCUUCUUAAAUGUCAGUCUCAUUACCACUAAGCUAAAAAGCAUCUCUUCAACUCUGCAUUCACUGCAUAUAGUUCAGUUAUUUUCAUCAGAUGGAAAAGCCUCAAAAGAAUGCCCUCACUCCCAGUGCACCCAAAAGCCUGCUGGGCUGGGCAGUCUGCCAUACAGAAGAUAGGGAUUCAAGACCUUACUAUAAAUCAGGACUGGACUCGCAUCACAGAAGACUGAAUGUUCUACAGCAGUGUCUCGGGUUUGAUGAGGGACAAAUGUAAGUCAGUCGGCCCCACUAGGUAUUAUACUCAGCUGCUUUCCCUGCUUCACUCCAAGACACAGUCCUGAAAACAGCUAUCAGACUGACCAACAGAAAGAAAGACUGCUUUGGAAAUCUCACAGGGACUCUGGUGUAAAUUAUUUCUAAGCAUGUUUCCUUCUCAUGUCAAAGCUUCAACACGUUUUUGCUGCAGAGAAGCUUGUGUUUAAAAAUCCCAGCAGAGCUUCAGUGUUUUUCCCAGGCCUGGAAGUGAUAGGUAGAUGCUACCACAGAAAUUGAGAGACUUCACUGAAAUAUAAUAGCCUUGGUAGAGUGGAGUUAUGGCUUUACUUUGCUACAAGGGUUGUUAGUUUUCUGUCCCCAAAUGACAAAUCUCCCGAAAUUAUUAAAUAAUAAAGAUAUCUUGGAUACAACAUUGCUACUGUUUGAUUUG